GUUCUUUUUUCAUUUUCAUUUUCAUUUCCUCGCUCCUCCUCUUUUCCCUUCUCAUCUUCUUCUCUGGUUCUUCUCUAACAAACCGCCUGCUCUUCAUCUUCCUGCCGCGUCGCCGCUUCUCUUCCUCUUCCUGCCGCGUCGCUAUUCCUUCCCCCACCGCUGCUGGUCUCUACCUUCUUCGUUAAUUAACCAUUUUUAUGCAAAUCUAGGGUUGAUUAACUACUUAUUUGCUGCAUUUUUCUUUCUCAAUUGCCAGAUUUACAAAACUGUAGAAGUUUGUUUUUGGGUUUUUGUUCUAGUUUUGUUGUUCGUUGAUGUGGGAAUUCGACAAUUUGUCUAUUUAAUUUCAAAAAAUUAUAUUGUAUGGACCUCGUUCUUACAAAAGUAUGAGAUUGCAUUGUUUAUUUGGGAAUAUCAAGGUUUGUCAAUAGAAUUAGCUUGUUAUAGUGACUCCAUUGUAGUCUUUUUCCUUGUAUUAGUUAGUUUGACUAAUUUUUAGAAAUUGAGCUUCAUUUAAGCUUAAUAUGUACUCAAGUACACGUUCUUGAUUAACUUCUUUGUAAGUUUUACGGAAAAAUGAUCUAUUAUUGCAAAACUAUUUUGAACUAUUUUUCUUUAAAGUUUAAUGAUCUUUCUUAGGGAAUUGGAAAUAACAAAUACUUAAUUAAUUUCUUAGGGUAGCACCUGUAACUUGUAAGUGCAACUUUAUUUUGUAAGUACUACCUACGCGAAUUGCUUUACUUAGAUGAUCACGCAACUUCUGCAAUUUCAGAAAGUGAGGGAUGCAAUAAGAGAAAAGGUAAAGAAGCAGAAGGAGUUUGAAAACAAAGCAAAUUCACAACUGGAGAGGAAGCUUGUAAUGGCCUAUAAAUGGAGUAGGACUUUGUAGACUAUGCGUGGGAAGUUGAAAGGAACUGAGUGAGAUCCUGAGAAUUCACACAGAAUUGAUUAUAUAUAGUGAUUUUUUGAGGCUCUUAAACUCAAAAGAACGUCAAAUGCAUGGAAUACUCAAAAUUGUUUCAAUUUAGAUAAUAUUUCUCUUCGUAUUUAUUUGCAUUUUUUUUAUAAUUAUAGUCCUCAUCGAUUCUUACUUGUCAUCUUUUACUUGUCAUCUUUCACUCUUUCGUGAGUAUCCUCGAUUUCAAUUUACAUCUACCCGAUCCUAACCCUCGAUACCAUCUAUAUCGUUCUCUACAUUCAUCCAUUUUAAAUCACCCACACACAUUUUCUAAAUCUCGGGCUAAGUUUGAUAUAUUUCAAGUUUUAAGAUUCAAAAUUUGUAGCUUAGACAUGAUUGAGUAGGACUUGAUAAUUUCUUUAUUUGUUUGAUAUAUUUAUUUAUUAAGUAUUUCUUCACUGCUAAAGCUAAAAAAACAAUCUUUAUUUAUGGAAGACAACUUAAGUUUUUGCAUAACUGCUAUUGUGUUAUUGUGUAUUUUUUUUUCAUGGACAUUAAGUGAACAUCUUUAAGAUUUUGGGUAUUUUCCUGUUUCACUACUGUUUUAUUAAUAUUUACCCGGAUCCAGAACUUAGACUGUUUUAAUUGAUUGGAAGCUGCAAUCGAUCAGCCUGCAAGCUGAAUAUUCUUGCCUACUACAAAUGAAGAAAGCCUGAUAGUGAGAACAUUUUCCAAUUUGACUGCAGACUUGACAUGAUGGAAAGAUUUAUCUGAGUUCCAGGAGAUCUCUACUUAUUUAUUAAAAAACAAGUAUAAUCUCUCACUUAAUGAGGGUAAAGUUUAUCGAGCAGUUUCUGGUGGCUAACCGAUGUUGACUUCUUUAUAUGGAAGAUGAUAGAAUCUGCAUUCUCCAUCACUGUGAGUACUGAAUAUUCUUGUUGUUGUGAGAACUUUGUUGGUGAUGAGGUGUCACCCUUUCCUCGGAGGUAUCAAGUAUGCGCUGGCACGACCUUCUUGCAACCUGCAAAACAAUAAUAUUCCCAUAGGAAUAUUCCCUCCGAUGCCUAAGUAAGUAUUGGCUAGAGAGAGAAGUAAUUUAUAGAGAGAAGGCAGAGCAGAAUAGUUUAAGGUAGGUAGGAAUGAAUUCCCUGUCUUUUACCUUGGGAUCUGAACUAUCUAUAGGACUAGAAUUUUGGGAAGUGUCCCAAAACCCUAGCCAUAUGAUUGGCUGACCUCAGAGAUGGGGACAUAUGUCCUUACCAAGUAUUGAGGGCUUAAGGUGCCUUUUCAAUCUGGGCCUGUCCUAGGAAAUUUUGGGCCUCUUUUGUUUGUCUUCAGGGAUGAUUUUUCUAGAUGUGUACAUCUGGCUAGCAUGCAUGGGCCACGUGUUUCCCCAUGGUAGGUCCAAGGUGGAGUUUGUUAUUUCUAGGCCACAUCAUUUACCCCUCAAUGAGGAUGCUCUAUAUUUUUAAUUAGGGCAUUCUCCUCGAUGUAGUUGUGCACCACGUGUUAUCAUCUGCUGAGCUUCAGUUUGCCUUUGAAAACCAAAGCAGAGAUUCAUUUUCCUCUUUCAUUUCUCUUCUAACGAUUGAGAGUUUUUAGAGAGAGAAAGAAGUUUUCAAGAGUUCUUUGCUUAAGCUGAAAGUGUUCUUGGCUACUUUUUUCGCAUUUCCUUUGGGGAUCAAUUUUUUCGACUGAAGCUUCACCCAUUUUGAUCAUGUGCAUGUACUUCUUUUGCUAUUUUUCUUGUUUUUUACUCUUGUUAAUUUUUUUGCUUUGUUAUCAAUUUCUUGGGGAGACUUUUUUGUUAUGGUCGUGUUCCUAUUGUAUUUAGACGACGUCGUCGCUUCUUUUCUUCUCUUUUUAAGUAGGAUGUCCCGUUCCUUAUGUAGGGCGGUAUGGCACGUAUUAGGCAACGGCUAAUGUGGGUGCACGGGAAGCACCCUGGGAAAGGGAAAGCCGUGUUCCUUUUUCGAGCCCCCCUCAUGUGUCUAGGAGGGGAGCUAGUUCCUCGCAUCAUUCUGGGGGAGAAGGUGCCAAGGCGAUCCGUUCUCAAAGAAUACGUAAGAGUGUGGCUCGCCGUCCUCCAGUCUCGAGAGAGGACUUUGAGGAUGAUUCUUCCAGUUCUUCGGACGAGGAGGCAGCCAGGCAGCCACCUCCUAUGGUGCCUGGGAAACAGGAUUUGGAUUUAUUUCCAUCUGAUAUUUUCCCAAGUAGGAAAUGGCUGUGAUACCUGAAGGAGCAGGGACGUGACUUUGAGAGUUUUCUUUUGUUGCCUCGUGGCUUUAGCUUUAGAUGUCCUAACUCUCAUAACACCUUAGAUUGCCUAUCCACGGGUGAGGUUGUUGUCUAUACGACCGCUUUUAGGCUAUGACUUAGGUUUCCUUUACAUCCAUUCGUACUUGCUGUCUUGGACGGGUAUGAUAUUGGCUUGGCCCUGCUGACUCCCAACUCUAGGGAAAUAUCUGUGACCUCAUUGCCAAAUGUGCUCACUACUACAUUUUUGAGAUAAUGCGACAGUGGAAUAGUGUUUAAUGCGACGCCUAACUUCUUACCGUUACAAUAAGUCAGGCUAAUGUAAUGAUUUUUAACAUACCGUUGCAAUAGACCAUCUAAUGCAACGACCUUCACCUUCACCUUACCAUUGCAAUAGGUAAUUAUUAACCGUUGCAUUAGAUGUCCUUCCCUCCUAAUUUUUCCUGAAAAUUUGAAACACGGCGCAAUUGCGCAAAUCACUUCAUUCUAGAACUUCAGAAUUCUUUAAAAAAAAAAAAAAAAAAAAAAAAUUUAGUCAAAUGUGUUAUUCAAAAUAAGAAACGACAAAGGGAAAACCUCAAUUCCGAAUUCCUUCUUCUAGAAAAAAAUCCCCCAAAUUCUUCUUCCAGGAAAUCCCAAUUCAACUAACUCAACUCUCACUACCAACUCUCAGGAGGCGACAAAGGAGAGAAGGCGGCUAACGGUGGAGCCGAUGAAGGAAGGGGGCGACGAAACAUCGAUCCCAUUCAAACGAUUUUGGUGAUUUGCAAUGAAAUAUAUGGUGUUUUAACAUGUAAGUUCUUUGCAAUUGCUUCGUAGGACAUAACAAAAAUGGACUAACUUCAAGUUUGAGUUUUGGUUUUAAUUCAGCUUUUUAUUGUCCAGUUUGACACUAUUCCUCCCAGAAUAUUUUAUUCGAAACCAAGAACUAUUAAACAGGAACAUUUAGCGAUUAUCUUACUUUGUUGAAGUCUGAAACAGAUCAAAAGACUAGUGAUUUUGAACAAUCUCCUCCGCAUAGGUACUCUGCAUACAAUUUAGAUUAAAGAACUCAGAACUAAUGGGUAGACUACUAAAGAUCACUGUUCUUGUAGAAAAAUACUAUACCUAAAACUAAAACACGAUAAACAUCUAAAUAGUGAAGGGUUGUAACCUAACUCAAGUCAACUAAAAACAUACCUUAAUUUUGAUGAAUUACUAGUUAUUUUUGCAAAACUUUGAGAGUUGGUUUUCUGGAUUUCAGUUUGUGAUAUGUAGCUGAUGUUACUUUUUACAGCUCCGAGGUUCUGUUAUUGUUUAAUACUCUAAUGAAUUAGCUUAAGGGGAGAGGGUAGUGUAGGAAAUCUGGAAAUGGAUAAUAAGAAAUCUUGAAGAAGAAGCCAGUCACUAAGUUAGACUAAGAAAUGAUAAAAUAAAAAAAAGGAUCAGGGAGAGAGAAACCAUGCUCACUAUUAUUGAGAAUUUAUUGUUAAUCUGUUUUACAUUUUGGGAGAGAGCAAGUCUGUUGAAUGUUUUUACGGAGUAACUAUCAUCUAUAUUUUAUAUUUUCCAGUUUAUAAUGGAUCAAACUACAUCUUCUUCCCUUAAUCUAUCUAUAUUAUCUCUUAAUUCUUUCCAAAGUUAUGUUAAUUCAUAGCACCUUUUUUGGGGGAUUGUUGGCCUCUGAUUACAGUCUAGACUCUAGAAGUCACUUUUCAGGGACUUCUCAAACUACAACGUCUAGGUUCUUUUGCUUUAGUGACAGAAUCUUAUUAGUCACGGCUUUAAGGGGCUUAUUGCCUAAAUAUGAACUGGUUGAAUUCUCUAAAAUUACCAAUAAAGAAUGUGUAUGGUUGUGUGAUGUCUGUGGUCUGUAGCUGAUUCUAAGAGUGUUUUAUAAUCCCUUUGACUCAACUAUAUAUAUUAGCAUCUUCUUAAUUUUUAUCACUUUUUCCUAAAUAUAUUUUCUUUUGCAUCAGUUUUUGAUUUUCUUAUGCUGGGUUAGAUUUUAUGCUGUUGAUUGAUCAUGGUUUAAAUUGGUUUAGCGUGUGGCAGAAACCUUGUUGCAGUGCCAAACGCCAGAAAUUCAAAGCCUCAAAGGCUUAAUAAAUUCAAAGUCCCAAACACCUUGUUGCAGUACCUUGCUGACUGUUUGGAACAAACUUCUUUCAUGUAAAUUAUCCCCUCACAGCCCAUUUGGUAGCCGGUAAAAAAUGGUGGUAAUUGGAAUAAAUCAAAGUGUUAUUUGACAAGAAAAUAGCAUAAUGAUGUCCAUGGUAAUGAAAUUUUGUCUCAAAUUUACAUACAAAUUCAUUCCCAUUGACAUCAUUUAUGGUCAGCUACCAAAUGGGCCGUCAGUGUUUUAUCUGCUAACCUGUUGUCACUUGAUGAUGCCACUCACUUGUUUUUCCAGACGGGAGGUAGUAUGAUCGAUGUGGAGGGUCCUCGUUGCAGUCUACGGAGUAGAAAGGUUUACAUCGACCUAAGUGUUGACUACUUAAAAAUGUUCUUGUUGAAUGUUCCAGCUGUUGCCGUUGCCCUUGGACUGGGAGUAUAUAUCUAUAACCUGUUUACUGACCUUUCCCCUUUCCUGCACGCCUAUGUUACUCAUAGUCAUGUACCCUUUUUUUUAACUUGAGAAGUUUAGAUUAGGAAUUACUAACUGCCUCAACUUUGAGUUGAGUUCAAUCAACUGCAUACUCUGCAUUUGUUGGGAGAGCUUCUCUGCUAGUCGGGUGCAGAUUACUCAAGUCUAAUGGGAGUACCCUACAGAAUGAGUUCUUACUAGGAGCAUGGUGAGCUAAAUGGAGGAGAAAUGUAGAUCUAGCAAAUGAGAUGGGGGAUCUUGUUUGUUUUUGUGUCAUUUUGUGAUUUCUAGUAACGUUGAAUUUGUUUCUAUGAAUCUUAAUAUUAUUUAUUUUGGUCAUUAAAAACACUAAGUUAGUUAGUGAACAACUAUUUUGUAAUGCAUGUUGACAUCCUAUGGGCACUAAUAUUGUAAUAUUACUCUUUAAGUCAAUGAAAAUCUUUUAUUAUUGA